UACGAAGGUGGCAAGCGUUGUUCGGAUUUACUGGGCGUACAGGGAGCGUAGGCGGUUGGAUAAGCCCUCCGUGAAAUCUCCAGGCUUAACCCGGAAAGUGCAGAGGGGACUGUUCAGCUAGAGGAUGGGAGAGGAGCGCGGAAUUCCCGGUGUAGCGGUGAAAUGCGUAGAGAUCGGGAGGAAGGCCGGUGGCGAAGGCGGCGCUCUGGAACAUUUCUGACGCUGAGGCUCGAAAGCGUGGGGAGCAAACAGG
rnacentral:rRNA from 1 species